CAGUUGAUUUAAUUUCAAGACACCCACAAGUCUUCUUAAGCACAUAAUUCCAACCUUCAUUUCCCCACAACCAAUAUCCCUUUUCUCCUUACACACACAAAAAAUUUGAAAGAGAGAGAGAUGGGAAGAGCUCCAUGUUGUGACAAAGCAAAUGUGAAGAAAGGGCCAUGGUCACCUGAAGAAGAUGCAAAGCUUAAAGACUACAUACAAACUCAUGGUACUGGUGGCAACUGGAUUGCUCUCCCACAAAAAGCAGGCCUUAGAAGAUGUGGUAAGAGUUGCAGGUUGAGAUGGCUCAACUAUCUCAGACCAAACAUCAAACAUGGUGAAUUUUCUGAUGAUGAAGACAAACUUAUUUGUACCCUUUAUGCUAGCAUUGGUAGCAGGUGGUCAGUAAUGGCAGCACAGUUACCAGGAAGAACAGAUAAUGAUAUCAAGAACUACUGGAACACAAAACUGAAGAAGAAGAUGAUGAGCAACUUAAUUACCAUGCCUGAAAUUCAAAAACCUCUUCAUCAUCUUCAAUCUUUCAUUUCCUCAACAAACUACAACUACCCAUCACUGUCAAAUGAUAUCAAUAUUAAUGCUCCAUUAUCAUCACCACCACCACCACAGUCAUCAUAUAUCUAUAGCUCACAUACUUCUAGAUAUCAUGAUCAAACCCUAUCUAUCCCAUCAAGUCCUAUAACAACAACAACUGCUUCUGCUGCUGCUGUUGUUUCUGAUCAUCAUCACCAUCCAGUUCUACAACCACAAGAUCAUGGGCAUCUUGGUUACCAAAGGGUAAAGGACAGUUCUACCCUUGUGAUGUUUGGAGGUGAUCAAGCUAGUUCCAGUAAUUCUAACUCUGAGGGGAGUUGUCAAUAUGAGUAUGGUACUGGUAUAGGUGUGUAUGAUCACAACAAGUACAACAUGGGACAUAUGAGGAGCAAUCCUUUCAAGGAAUGUGGGAUGAUGACAUAUGAUAAGGAUUUAGGGUAUGAUGAUUCUUCACUGGACUCCAGUCUUGAGGAGAUUAAGCAGCUUAUUAGCACAGAUCUUUGCAGCAGUAACAUUGACAGCAAUCUCAACUUUUAUGUUGAUGAAACCAAGGAAGUAAAAAAAGUUAUGUACUUUUAGUUCUUGAGUCAACUAUGGAUGCUGAACAUGGUCAUCAUCACCAUCACCAUGUUCCUCAACAUCACGAGUCAGGUUUUCUACACCCUUUUUCACGGCCACCACAAAUGUUGAAUGUUGAUGGAAUCAUUGGAUCUUGUGCCUUAUUGUUUCUCCGGUUUUUUCAAGGUUGGAAAAGUUGUUUUAUAGCAUGUUCUAAAAUCUGUUGCGCCACAACUAAAGCGAGAGGGUGAUAAUACUAUAUUUUAUUACUCUCCUGUAAUCAGUUUAAAAUAACCCGAUUAUAUUACCAUGUAUAACCCAAAGAUAAAUCCAGACUAUAUUUAGAAUUUGGUCCUACCAAUCAAAUUGUUUUCAUGCA